rnacentral:rRNA from 1 species
UCGGGAAUUUUGGGCAAUGGGCGAAAGCCUGACCCAGCAACGCCGCGUGAAGGAUGAAGUAUUUCGGUAUGUAAAUUUCGAAAGAAUAGGAAGAAUAAAUGACGGUACUAUUUAUAAGGUCCGGCUAACUACGUGCCAGCAGCCGCGGUAAUACGUAGGGACCAAGCGUUGUUCGGAUUUACUGGGCGUAAAGGGCGCGUAGGCGGCAAUUCAAGUCAUCUGUGAAAUCUCCGGGCUUAACUCGGAACGGUCAGAUGAUACUGCUUUGCUAGAGUGCAGAAGGGGCAAUCGGAAUUCUUGGUGUAGCGGUGAAAUGCGUAGAUAUCAAGAGGAACACCUGAGGUGAAGACGGGUUGCUGGGCUGACACUGACGCUGAGGCGCGAAAGCCAGGGGAGCAAACGGGAUUAGAUACCCAGGUAGUCCCUGAGCGGGCUGGCAAGGCGCAU